CUACUUUCAUUUCAAUAAAAAUAUAAGAAUUAUUCAUUAUUUUUCUUCCCUAAUCCUUUAUAUGGUAUCAGAGUUAGAGUUAGGGUUUGGGUUAGAGUUUUAGGGGUCAAAUUACAUCAGAAGAAGGGUUAAACAACCCAUUCUCAGCGCCGGAGAAAGACAACCACCGAUCUCUGGCCAGUUCAAAAUGCGGCUAGUGCGGUGAUGUACGCGAGAGAAGUCGAGGAAGUGAUUCGCACGGCGAUUUGAGGUUGCAUGCGGCUUGAUUGCCGGAGAAGAGCAUUCCCGUGCGUGUUGGGUUCCCAUUCAAGGAUAGAAGUAACAGAGGAGCUCGGUCAUUCGGUUCUAUGCACGAAACUAGAAGGCCGAAGAUGGAAAAGGCGCGGCGGAGCAGCUUGCGCGACAGCAAGUGAUUCUCCACUCUCUGGUACGAUUAGGGCCUUUUUGUGAGCAUCAUUCCGGAUUAGGGCUGGCAUUGAAGUUCUAUGGUGAUUUCCGGUCGAAAGGAGGCUGUUUAGUGGUUGUAGGCAGCGGCGUGUGUAACUCUGGUGGCGACACGUGGCUCUCCGGUGGUGGCGCAUGUAGCGGCGCAGGUCCUCUGGUGGUUAAUAGUGAGGUCCUAGUAGGGUUGUUGAUGCCCGUGCGUGAAGAAGUGCUCUGUUUUCUUAAAUUUUCCAUUAUAUUUGUAGUGUUUUACGGGUAUCUCUAACUAUUAUGUUUUGGGUAUUCUGAGUGGCGUAUAAUAAGGGCAUAUAAAACAGUACUGUAAGAAAUUGUAGAAUCUGAAUCGGAGGACACAGACUGCUAAUAUUGUUGCUGCUACUGCUAGCUCAUAUUCUGAAAGAACUGUUAUGAUUUUAGCUAAUAAAUAUGCUAAAUUCACUCAAUAUCAGAAAUUUUUAAAUAAAUUUUUUACUCUUAUUGAACCAGAGAAAAAAUGUCUUAUCUCCUCCUCAAACAGAUGAGUGAUUGAUUCUGGUGCUAUAGAUCAUAUGACAGGUAUUUUUAAUAUUUUUUUUAGUUUUCGAUCAUACAAAGUACUUUUUCCUGUAACUGUAGCUGAUGGGUCGACAUAUAAUAUUGUGGGUUCAGCGACCACAAAACCAACAUUAUCUAUUAUUUUGUCAUCUGUAUUAAGUUUACCUAAACUUGAUUUCAAUAUGAUUUAUGUGAGUAAACUUACUAAAGAUUUAAAUUGUUAUAUUACAUUUUUUCCUAAUCACUGUGUUUUUUAAGAUUUUAUGAUGAAACAAAUUAUUGGUAAAGGAAAUAUAUCAGAUGAUCUUUACAUUCUUGAUACUUAGGUACCUCAAUUAGUUACUGUAAGAAGCUUUGGACAUGACUCUAAUCUCGUGAAGGUUUAAUGGAGAAGAAGAAGAAGAAGAAAACAGAGAAGAUGAAGAACGAUAAAGGGAGAAAGUAGAAAACUUUUUUAUUGAUUUAUGAUAUGCUUACAAUCGAUGGAAGGGGACCCUUUUUAUAGCCUAAAUACAUUAAAUAAAAUCAUUAUUCAAGGCGGAAUCAAGCUUGCUGGAGUUGCACGACUGGAAUCGCGUGAUAAUGAUGAUCGACGUCGUCUACGGAAUGGAUUUGGAAGGCAAAGGCGUCGACUGUGAAUCCUGUUAGGGUUGGUCAACCCUAAUCCCAGUUGUUCUGCAUUUUUGUUAUUAUGCCCUUUUGUGUGUGUAUUUCCUUUUUUACCCUUCUUUCUGUAAUAAACCUUGAGGGGUUUCUAGACAAUACCCUCGCCUAGAACAGUAACCUUGUCCUCAAGGUUGAGAUGCAGAAAUUGGUGUUAUAAAUACUCAUAAUCUUCCCAUGUGCAUUCUUUGGUUGGAGCUCCUUUCUAACGGAUAAGGACUUGAUUUACGAGUUGAUUACCCCAUAAUAUAGUUCUAUGUUGUAAGAUUUAUUGGGGUUGUACACUGAUGAAGUCUUCCGUGGUCUGUGAGGCUAAAGUCUUGUUGUGUAUUUCUUGAGUUGGGACACGUGAAAAACUGGGUGAAUCCUUGAUUCUUCGGUUAAUAGGAGCUUGCAUGCUACAUUCUCAAUUUUCUGAGAGGCUUGGAAUGGUCCAUAGUAUCGGAUGGAUAAUUUGGAGUCUCGUCCUUCUUGAGUGUUUCUUGUUUGAAAGACUGUAGUUCGAGCAAUACCCAGUCAUCUACUUCAAAACUUCUCUCACUUUGAUGAUUCUCCGCAUAUUGCUUGAUUUUGGCUUGUGCCUGUAAGAGCUGUUGUCGUAUGGUCUUGUUGGCUUCUUCGCAUUCCGCUAGGACCAUCUCUACGGAAGGUAAUGCAGAGUCGAAUUCUAUGGAGUUGGAGAAAUGUGGAGGUGGGUAUCCGUAGAGUGCUUGGAAAGGUGUCAUCUUCAAACUUGAAUGGUAUGAAGUGUUAUACCAUCAUUCAAUCAUAGUUAUUAACCAUUUGACGCAAGUCUUCGGUUGUUAGUUAGCUAGCUAUACAUCGUAGGUACAUUUUCAGACCUUGAUUGAGCUUUUCUAUUUGUUCGUCAGUCUGGGGGUGAUAUGCGAUACUGAAGAGGAAAUUUGUUCCAAUUGUCUUCAUUAGUUCCUUCCAGAAUAAACUGGUGAAUAUUUUAUCUCGGUCAGUUACUAUGACCUGUGGAACCCCGUGUAGCUUGUGUACCAUCUUCAUGUAACUUCGUGCUACUUCGGCUGUAGUGAAGGAAUGUCGCAAAGGAAUGAAAUGCACAUACUUGGUGAAACGGUCCAUUACCACUAAUAUAGCGUCCUUGCCCUCUUAUUUGGGCAAUUGUUCAAUGAAGUUCAUGGAUAUGUGGGUUCAGGCGUGUGGUGGAACAAGUAGUGGUUGCAGUAAUCCAGGAGUGGAAACUCGUUCUAUUUUGCAGCAUUGACAGAUAUCACAUUGUUAGACUCGCUGUAAAAUUUGUUUCUUUAUAGUAAGCCAAUAAAACUGUUGUUUGACCCUCUCAUAAGUAGCUCGAACUCUAGAGUGAUCCCGUACUGCUGAAUUGUGGCAUUGAUAAAGCAGUUGGUUGUGAAGUUCCUUUUUGUCACCCAUGACCAACCUCUGUUUGCAUCUCAAUAUGCCCUGUUGUAGGGAAAAAAGUUAUAUGCUAUUAGGGAAAAAAUUAUAUGCUAUUAGGAGAAACCAUUAGUUCUGAUAGCAGUUGUUGAGUGAAGGGAUCAUUGGGGUAACUGUCACUUUUUUCCACCAUCCAAGCAGGUAUGGAUGUGGAGAGGGUGUAUAAGAUUUCCGCUUCAGGGUCAUGGGCAUCCCUCCUUGAAAGAGCAUUUGUUACCUUGUUCGACGACCCUUGUUUGUAUUGGAUUGUGUAAUUCUAGCCCAAUAGCUUCAAGAUGCCAUUUUGUUGUACCAUGAAGGAAACUCUUUGAUCUAACAAGUACUUUAAACUACGUUGAUCCGUUCUGAUGACGAAUGAGGUUCCUUCUAAAUAGUGCUGCCAUUGUCCUACGGCAUAGAGAACGACCAUCAGUUCCUUCUCAUAUAUUGACUUUGUCUGAUUCUUGGGACUGAGGGCCUUGCUUAUGAAAGCUAUAGGUUGAUUUUCUUGCAUCAGGACCGCUCCAAUUCCCUUGUUGCUUGCAUCUGUCUUAAAAGUAAAAGGAUCUCCGAAUUGAGGUAGUCGUAGGACCGAGCUGGAAGUCAUAGCUGUCUUUAACAAUUGAAAAGCUUGCUCCGCUUCUGAAUUCCAUUCAAAGACACCAUUUUUUAACAAAUUGGUGAGACGUUAGACGAUGAUUCCGUAAUUUUAUAUCAAUUUGCGGUACUAUCCUGUUAAGCACAGAAAACCUCUAAAAACCUUAAUCGUCCGAGGAGUGGACCAGUUGAUCAUAGCUUCAAUCUUUCGCGAGUCUGUUUUUACCUCUCGACCUGAGAUGAUAUGCCCUAGAUACUUCACCUUUGUCUAAAAGAAAUAACUCUUGGAUUGCUUUGCAUACAACCUGUUAUCUCGGAGUGUCUUUAGAACUUCGUUUAGAUGAAUAAGGUGCUCCUUCUCAGUGAUAGUAUAAACUAAGAUGUCAUCAAAGAAGACCAAUACAAAUAUUCGGAGAAAAGCUUUGAAUAUGUGAUUCAUGAGAGCCUGGAAGAUAGUGGGGGCGUUGGUCAAGCCGAAAGGUAUCACCUUGAAUUCAUAAUGAUCCUAAUGUGUUAUAAAUGCCGUUUUGUGGAUGUCUUCCUCAUCGACCCUAAUGUUAUGAUAUCUUGCUCUAAGAUCAAUUUUAGAGAAAAUAUGUGCUCCAUAUAAUUCAUCAAUAAGAUCAUCAAUGAUGGGUAUGGGGAACUUACUUUUUACGGUCAAAGAGUUUAGUUCUUUAUAUUCCACGCAAAACCUCCAUGUACAAUCUUUCUUUUUGACAAGCAGUACCGUUGUAGAGAAUGGGCUACAGCUGGGCCAUAUUAAUGAGUCCUUCAACAUUUGUUGUAUUUGCUUUUCUAUUUCGUUCUUCUGAUUGAACAAAUACCUAUAGGGUCGAAUAUUCAUGGCAACAUUAUGUUUGGACAAGGUGAUGACGUGAUCAAAGGCUUUGGCCGGUGGCUAGCCAUGGGGUUCCUAAAAGACAUCCUAAUAUUGUCUAAGUAGUGCUUCUAGUGCUAGGAUGGGCAUCUCGGAAGUAGAUACCUUCUAUAAAACUUCCAUUAUUAGAAAUACUGUUCCACAUUCGACCGCUUGCUUAUGUUUGACCCAAUGUUUCACCUUUAUUUCUCUUGUCUUGAAUGUUUCCCGGAAGUCACAACUCUGUAAUAAUAUUUGUAAUUUUUAUAAUUGAAUCGUAUCGUUGCAUGGAGGAAGUCAAACAGCAUAGUCAAACAUCAUUGGGCCGAAUUGUUUCAUCUAGUCGAUCCUUAAUAUCAUUUCAUACCCUCUCAGUGAAAUGAUGCAGACAUUGUAGUUGAACUUGUAGCCUUGCAUGGUCCACAUCACAUCUGGACAUUCAAAGUGAUUAGAUAUUUUUUGCCCGUUUGCAACCAUAAGUGUUAAGGGUUUACUGCUGACCACCUGAUUCUUGAUCCAUUUAGAAUCUCCUUCGUCUAGGAAGGGAUGUGAGCUUUCACUAUCCAGUAGGAUCAACACAUCAUGAUUUGAUAAUUUUCCUCGUAUUUUCAAGGUGCUCCCUGUGGUGACCCCUUCUAUUGCUUGUAGAGGCAGAGUGCCAGUAAGGCCAUCGCUAACCUCUUUAGCUUCCUCAAGGCAGUGGGAUUGGCAGCAAAAAGAACUUCAAACCCUUGUCUUCCUGCAUCUGCGACAUACGGGAAAGGAAGAAGACCUUCACCCGAAUGGGUCUUGGCUUCCUUUGGCCUGGUCGGCAAUUUCGCUUCAGAGCAGCUCAAGUAUCACACUGAGCUGUCAGCAUGAUUCAUUCAUGAAUGCUGAUAGCUUUAAAUCGACUUCUUUUAUGGUAAGUGAUUUGAGAUUUUCUAGUUCAGUCAUCGGGGCCUUCCCCUUCGACCGUGUUCGAGUGGCGAUACCGGUGUAUGAUUCAGCCGGUUUUAGUUCUGAUACCAUCUUGUCAGAAGUCUUAGGCAUGACUCUGAUCUUAUCAAGGUUUAAUGAAGAAGAAAAUAGAGAAGAUGAAGAACGAUAAAGGGAGAAAGUAGAAGAUUUUUUUAUUGAUUUCUGAUGUACUUACAAUCGAUGGAAGGGACCUUUUUUAUAGGCCUAAAUACAUUAAAUAAAAUCAUUAUUUAAGGCGGAAUCAAGAUUGCUGGAGUUGCGCGGUCGGAAUUGCGUGAUGAUGAUGGUCGGCAUCGUCUACGGAAUGAAUUUGGAAGGCAGAGGCAUCGACUGUGGAAUCUUGUUAAGGUUGGUCAACCCUAAUCCCAGUUGUUUUAAGUUUUUCCUAUUCUGCCCUUUUGUGUGUAUAUUUUCUUUUUUUAUCAUUCUUUCUAUAAUAAACCCUAAGGGGUUUUCUGAAAGUUGUCUGCUAUAAUAUUACCUCUCCAUUUAAAACACAUUGUCAAUUGGGACAUCCAUCUCUACCUGUGUUUAAAAAAUUAUGUCAUCAGUUUCAUGAUGUAUCCUCAUUGAAUUGUGAGUCACAUCGGUUUGCAAAACAUCACUGUAGUUCAUCAGGUUCAAGGAUCAAUAGACGAGGUGAGUCUGCUUUUGAGUUAGUUCAUAUGAUGUUUGGGGCCUCUUGUCCUGUUCUGUCCAAAACUGGGUUCAAGUAUUUCAUUACCUUUAUGGAUGAUUUUUCUCACAUGACUUGAAUAUAUUUUAUGAAGAAUCAUUCGAAAGUAUUUUUUCACUUUUGUGUUUUCUGUACUGAAGUUAAAAUACAAUUCAAUGUUUCUGUGUAUGUAUUGAGAAGUGAUAAUGUCAAAAAAUAUAUAUCAGAUUCAUUUCAGAACUAUAUGACUCAACGCGGGAUCCUUCACCAAUCCUUGUGCGUUGAUAUACCAUCUCAAAAUGUAAUCGCUGAGAGAAAGAACAGACAUUUACCGGAGACAACUCGAACCCUCUUGUUCCAAACAUAAAUCCCUAAUCUUCUUUUUCCAUACAACUCUUUGUUUCCGAUGCAACGUACGAUAUUUGGUAGCACCUGUUAUGCUCGAGAUGUGCGACCUACUGUGACAAAAUUGGACUCAAAAGUCUUAAAGUGUGUAUUUUUUAGAUAUUCUCGCGUGCAGAAAAGAUACAGGUGCUACUUUCCAAAUCUCAAUAAAUAUUUAAUAUCAACUGAUGUGAUUUUUUUAGAGAAUAUACCGUUCUUCUCCUUAUUGUCCAAGUCUACAAGUCAGGAGGCGGACGACGAGUAACUUAUCUAUAGUUUCACAUUAGGUGCUUUUACUGAGCAAACAGAUAAAAGUAUUCCUCCAUAUGAUGUGUCUCCAGCUCUACUUGAGUAAGUUGAGGAUAGUAUUCGUAUACCUCUAAUCCAAAUAUCACCACCAAUUGUUUAUAUUUAUUUCAGAAGACAACAAACUGAUGAAAAAUGUCCUGCACCAGAUCCGUCGUCAUCUGAUUCUGCUGCACAUAACCUUGAUCUUCGUAAAGGUAAAUGUCUGUGCACCAUUCCUACGCCAACUUAUCCUAUUGCUAAUUUUAUAUCUAAUGACCAUAUGUCUUAUUUGUCUUGUGUUUUAAUUGCUUUUAUAGAUUCAACCUCUAUGUUCAAGACAGUAUCUGAAUCACCCUGAUUGGCAUAAUACUAUGCUUGAGGAGAUAAACGCUUUGAUGAUAAUCAUACCUGGGAUCUGGUAGAUUUACUUAAAGGAAAAAAGGUUAUAAGGUGCAAAUGAAUAUUUACAAUUAAAGUGAAUCUAGAUUGCUCUAUGGCAAGACUUAAAGCUCGACUGGUAGCGAAAGGUUAUACUCAGACUUAUAGAAUGGACUAUUCUGAUAUAUUCUCUCCAGUAGCCAAACUUGUCUCUAUUCAUUUAUUCAUAUAUAUUACAGCCUCCCAAAAUCAUUCCUUACACUAGGUAAAUAUUAAAAAUGCAUUUUUUCAUGGUGAUCUCUUAGAAGAAGUAUAUAUGGAGUGACCACUUGGGUUUAUUACUCAGGGGGAGUACGGGAAAGUCUGUCAUUUGAAGAAAUUUUUGUAUGGUCUGAAGCAGAGUUCUUGUGCGUGGUUUAAUAAGUUUAGUGAGGUAAUAUGUGAGUUCGGAUUGAAGAAUAGUAAGUGUGAUCAUUCAGUCUUCUAUAGACAAUAAACAGGUAUUAUUAUACUUUUUAUUGUUUAUAUUGAUGAUAUUGUGAUUACAGAAGAUGACUAUAUAAGAAUAUCUUCUCUUAAGUCAUUCUUGCAUACCAAACUCAAUACCAAAGACUUGGGAUAAGUAAAAUACCUUUUGGGAGUUGAAGUAAUAAGAAAUAAAGAAAGAAUUCUGUUAUCUUAGAGAAAAUAUAUACUUGAUCUACUUGCAGAAACAGUAAAGCUGAGAGCUAAGUCAUGCAGUAUACUAAUGGUACCAAAUGUACAUCUUACAAAAGAUAAUAGUGAUUUCCUUGAUGAUUCAAAGAAAUACAGGUGACUAGUUGGGAAA